rnacentral:rRNA from 1 species
UACAGAGGAGCCAAGCGUUGUCCGGAUUGACUGGGCGUAAAGCGCGCGCAGGCGGGGGUGCGCGUGGGGUGUGAAAUCUGGCCGCUUAACGGCCAGGCGCCAUCCCAUACGGCACGCCUGGAGCCUUGCAGAGGUCGGUGGAAUUGCCGGUGUAGUGGUGAAAUGCGUAGAGAUCGGCAGGAACACCCAGGGGGAAACCAGCCGACUGGGCAAGUGCUGACGCUGAGGUGCGAGAGCGUGGGGAGCGAACCGG